ACUCAGGCACGAUCAAUAUUUAUUGAAGCGACCUGAAGUUUCAAUCCUGAGGGA
rfam:Corynebacterium mustelae strain DSM 45274, complete genome.